rnacentral:rRNA from 1 species
UAGCAUAUCAAUAAGCGGAGGAAAAGAAACCAACAGGGAUUGCCCUAGUAACGGCGAGUGAAGCGGCAACAGCUCAAAUUUGAAAUCUGGCCUCUUUGGGGUCCGAGUUGUAAUUUGCAGAGGGCGCUUUGGUGUCGGCAGCGGUCCAAGUUCCUUGGAACAGGACGUCACAGAGGGUGAGAAUCCCGUACGUGGUCGCUAGCCUUCACCGUGUAAAGCCCCUUCGACGAGUCGAGUUGUUUGGGAAUGCAGCUCUAAAUGGGAGGUAAAUUUCUUCUAAAGCUAAAUACUGGCCAGAGACCGAUAGCGCACAAGUAGAGUGAUCGAAAGAUGAAAAGCACUUUGGAAAGAGAGUCAAACAGCACGUGAAAUUGUUGAAAGGGAAGCGCUUGCAGCCAGACUUGCCUGUAGUUGCUCAUCCGGGCUUUUGCCCGGUGCACUCUUCUAUAGGCAGGCCAGCAUCAGUUUGAGCGGUUGGAUAAAGGUCUCUGUCAUGUACCUCUCUUUGGGGAGAACUUAUAGGGGAGACGACAUGCAACCAGCCCAGACUGAGGUCCGCGCAUUUGCUAGGAUGCUGGCGUAAUGGCUGUAAGCGGCCCGUCUUGAAACACGGACCAAGGAGUCUAACAUCUAUGCGAGUGUUUGGGUGUCAAGCCCGAGCGCGCAAUGAAAGUGAACGGAGGUGGGAACCCCUUGGGGUGCACCAUCGACCGAUCCUGAUGUCUUCGGAUGGAUUUGAGUAAGAGCAUAGCUGUUGGGACCCGAAAGAUGGUGAACUAUGCUUGAAUAGGGUGAAGCCAGAGGAAACUCUGGUGGAGGCUCGCAGCGGUUCUGACGUGCAAAUCGAUCGUCAAAUUUGGGCAUAGGGGCGAAAGACUAAUCGAACUAUCUAGUAGCUGGUUCCUGCCGA